rnacentral:snRNA from 15 species
UUUAUUACCUGGCGGCAGGUAGAAGAGUGAUCAAGAAUGCUCUAAUCGCUCUUGGAGGCUCAAUAUUGCAAAUCUGUGGGUUGAAACUCUCGACAGACCCUGAGUAGAUGCACUCAUGCGUGUAAAUUUUGUCAGUAGGGGGACUUCACGGUUCUUCCUCUA